ensembl:lncRNA
CUCCUGGCUGUGCAUCUGACUGACAUUACCUCAUCACUUUCUGCAGUGGCUCUGUGAGGUCCUUCCUGUCCCGUCGCCUGUGUCCAGGAAAACCUCACCAGCAGUUCUGUUGGUUUCCACAGGUCAUGAAAAUGGCUGCGUGGACUUUGACCAAGCUUGAUUUUGACCUUUUUCUGGUUGAAUCAAGAUCAAUGUUGGAGACAAGCGGCUGGGAAGGUCAUUCGGAAGUAGCUGUGCAGAGAUCUCCCUCCCGGGAAGCAGUGUUCUAGUAAGGGUCUAUGGUCUUGGAGAAGACAUUCCCGUCAGUCUGAGAAGUUUCUUUGCAAAACACAGGACUGGUAGAGCUAGCAGUGUUUACUAGUAGCAGUGUGAAGAAGACUGGAGGGUCUUCUUGGGACUGAGAAUUCUAGGUGUUGAAUCUUGUAACUGAAAAGGCCAGCCACCUGCUUCAGCUGGAAACAGAAUUAUGUCCACUAAGAGAUGGGAAACUGACAACUCUUCA